rnacentral:rRNA from 1 species
GACGAACCGUGCGAACGUUGUUCGGAAUCACUGGGCUUAAAGGGCGCGUAGGCGGCUUGCCAAGUCAAGGGUGAAAUCUUUCGGCUCAACCGGAAAAGUGCCUUUGAUACUGGCAGGCUUGAGGGAGGUAGGGGCAUGUGGAACUCUCGGUGGAGCGGUGAAAUGCGUUGAUAUCGGGAGGAACGCCGGUGGCGAAAGCGACGUGCUGGACCUCUUCUGACGCUGAGGCGCGAAAGCUAGGGGAGCGAACGGGAUUAGAUACCCUGGUAGU